UACGUAGGGUGCGAGCGUUGUCCGGAAUUAUUGGGCGUAAAGGGCUCGUAGGCGGUUUGUCACGUCGGGAGUGAAAACUCGGGGCUCAACCCCGAGCCUGCUUCCGAUACGGGCAGACUAGAGGUAUGCAGGGGAGAAUGGAAUUCCUGGUGUAGCGGUGAAAUGCGCAGAUAUCAGGAGGAACACCGGUGGCGAAGGCGGUUCUCUGGGCAUUACCUGACGCUGAGGAGCGAAAGCUAGGGGAGCAAACAGG
rnacentral:rRNA from 1 species